rnacentral:lncRNA from 1 species
GCGCUGUGCAGAAAGGUCAUUGUUGUUUGUCCUCCUACUCCAGUGAGAACUUCACUGCACCCCAAUCCUGACCAGUUGGAGUUGUUCAUUUUCUUCUGUUGGAACGCUUCUAGAGACUGAACUGUUACCUCGGGUCUGGUGUCGGGUGGUGGUAGAGGAGAUACUUGCAAGAAGAUGAACUAAGCCGCUAACUCAAUUACAAGAUUUUUUAAAAAGCCUCGUGGGGCAUAGCACCAUCGCUAAAUGCCUGGUACAUUUAAGAAGCCCGACUGCGGGAGAGGCCCUCUACAAACGCUGUUACCUGGAAUCUGAGAACUAAGUAAGCCAGACUUUCUUUAAUUCUAAAUGGCAAAAAAAAAAAAAAAAAAAAUCUAAAUACUU